GACGAACGCUGGCGGCGUGCUUAACACAUGCAAGUCGAACGAAGUGGCGAACGGGUGAGUAAUACGUGGGUAACCUGCCCUCCUUUUUGGGAUAAGCCGUGGAAACGGGGUAUAAUACCGAAUAAAGGGGGAUGGGCUCUCGGCCGAUCAGCUGGUUGGUGGGGUAACGGCCUACCAAGGCGGUGACGGGUAGCCGGCCUGAGAGGGUGACCGGGCACAGUUGGACUGCGAUGCGGCCCAGCCGCCUACGCGAGGGAGAAGUGGGGGAUAUUGCACAAUGCGUGAUACCCUCAUGCAGCGUCGCCGCGUGGGGGUUGAGGGCUUUCGGGUUGUAAUGCGCUUACGCUAUCGAACCGGUACCUGGAGAAGAAGCGCCGGCUAACUACGUGCCAGCAGCCGCGGUAAUAC
rnacentral:rRNA from 1 species